AUGGCUUCUGGUUUAUGUGAACUGAUGUGGUUGAGGAUAUUACUAUCUGAGCUCGGUCUAUUUGAUGGAGGACCACUACAACUCUAUUGUGAUAACCAAGCUGCAAUCAAUAUAGUGCACAAUCCAGUUCAGCAUGAUAGAACUAAGCAUGUUGAAAUUGAUAGACAUUUCAUUAGAGAGAAGUUAGAUGAGGGGAGCCUUCGUGUUACUUUUGUUAGAUCUGAUAGUCAAUUGGCAGAUGUACUUACAAAAGGUGUUAGUGUUGUGUCUUUUGAGAAACUAUGUAGCAAGAUGGGGCUAAUAGACUUAUUUGCCCCAUCUUGA
rnacentral:rRNA from 1 species